GUUCUGCGAAUUUUGUGUGCUGUUGUGGCUUAUGGUUGAGAACAUGCAUGUUGUUUGUUGUAUGCUUUGUCUGAAUUGAAUUUAUAGGUUCUAAUAAUUUUGGAUAUGCUAUAGAAACAGAGGAAACUCUGCCCAAUUUUUUUUUUGACGAUAUUAAUUUAUUAAUUGAAAAUGUAAUAUGAAUGAUUGAUUCUCUACAGAUGCAUUUGGGAAAGCAUGCACCCAAAUUCACGACAAUUAUAUAAAUUUUUUGACACCGAACAUCUUUCUAUUGGCAAUGAUGAAAGUAAAAACUAUACGGUGGAUCUUAUAGCCAAAUGGAUGAUGACUAUGGAUAGACAAGGCCAAAUAUAUUUCAUUCCUUGGAUUGUUGAUCGACAUUGGAUGUUGGUGCUCGUGAUGAUGCGGGGGAUGACCAUAAUUUUGGACCCUUUAAAAAAUCAUAAAUCUCCACCAAUAAUUACGGAGGUUAUGGAAAAAGCAUACGCACAAUGUUUGGAAAAUGAAUACAUCGUCACAUUUACAAAAUUGGUGAGAGGUUCUUGUCCAAAACAACCUGAAAGUCAUGAAUGUGGUUAUUAUGUACUAAGAUACAUUUAUGAUCUUGUAAAUGCACCGA